rnacentral:rRNA from 1 species
UGCAGUCGAGGGGCAGCGUAACGGGUAGCAAUACCUGUUGACGGCGACCGGCGCACGGGUGCGUAACGCGUAUGUAACCUACCGUUCACAGGGGGAUAGUCAGAGGAAACUUUGAAUAAUACCGCAUAAAACAGGGGUCCGGCAUCGGAAUAUUUGUUAAAGGUGGCGACACGGUGAACGAUGGGCAUGCGUUCGAUUAGAUAGUUGGUGAGGUAACGGCUCACCAAGUCUACGAUCGAUAGGGGGUCUGAGAGGAUUAUCCCCCACACUGGUACUGAGAUACGGACCAGACUCCUACGGGAGGCAGCAGUGAGGAAUAUUGGGCAAUGGGCGAAAGCCUGACCCAGCCAUGCCGCGUGCAGGAAGACGGCCCUAUGGGUUGUAAACUGCUUUUACUCGGGAAGAAUAAGGGUUACGUGUAACCCGAUGACGGUACCGAAAGAAUAAGCAUCGGCUAACUCCGUGCCAGCAGCCGCGGUAAUACGGAGGAUGCGAGCGUUAUCCGGAAUUAUUGGGUUUAAAGGGUCCGCAGGCGGACAGGUAAGUCAGUAGUGAAAAACCGGGGCUUAACCCCGGUCGUGCUACAGAAACUGCCUGACUAGAGAAAGUUUGGCGUUGGCGGAAUGUGACAAGUAGCGGUGAAAUGCAUAGAUAUGUCACAGAACACCGAUAGCGAAAGCAGCUGACGAAGACUAUUCUGACGCUC